CGCGCAGGCGGCUAUCUUUGUCAGGCGUGAAAGCCCCGGGCUUAACCUGGGAGGUGCGCUUGGGACGGGAUGGCUAGAGAUCGGGAGAGGAGAGUGGAAUUCCCAGUGUAGAGGUGAAAUUCGUAGAUAUUGGGAAGAACACCGGUGGCGAAGGCGGCUCUCUGGACCGAUACUGACGCUGAGGCGCGAAAGCGUGGGGAGCAAACA
rnacentral:rRNA from 1 species